AGGGAGUAAGAUUGCUUGAAAGUAACUUCAUCAAUAAAACAUCAAUGGUCUUUUGCUUGUGCUUGAGAUCUUUAUUGGAGCAUCAGAAGAAUCCAAUGAAGCCAUUGGAGAAGCACUUCCAGGACUCUUUGUUGACCAAGUACCUGAGAGCUUACAUGGAAGGCAAGAAAAGGAUGGCGUUGGUAUGUUGUCUUAUCACCACCUCGUAGUUCUGCUGUCUUUAAAAUCAUCUCACUGCUUUAUUUGUUAAUUAUGCAGAUCUUAACAG